ensembl:lncRNA
ACCAGCUGUGGGUCCUUAGGCCAGUGAGCUUCUCUCUUUGGCUCUUGACUUUCCUCAUCAGGAAAGUAGAUCAGGUUGGUUUACUCUAGACUGUUGAAUGGGGCGCCUCAAACUUCCACGUGCAGAGGAAUCGCUUGGGGAUCUAGUUAAAGGCAGAUCCUGAUUCAUAUGUCUGCUCUCAAGCUGGGGAGCUGAGUCUUACUGGGUUAGAGGAGACUGCAAAUCCAAAGAGCUCCCAGGUGUUGCUGAUGCUGCUGGUCCACGCGCCUCGCUUUCCCCAGCCGGAGUCAUCAUCUGUAAUGUUGAACCUGCUGUGAGUCUAGAAAAAAGCAAACCAAAGUUGAAGCCCUGAGGCUCUGAGAAACUCAGAUGGUAUUUUUUUCAAUGGAUGGAGAACAUGGCAGAGAGAAGCUGAGGGAGUCUGGAAGGUGGACGAUUUAGGCCCAGGGAGACGGGAGUAAGUGACUGAUUCCUAUCCAAAGGGGAGGUGCCUUAGUCGGGCUCCUCUGGCUAGACUCGAAGCUCCUUGAGGGCAAAGACCAUUUCCAAAUCAUUUCUCUAUCUUGUGUGUUGGAUGAAUGAAAAAAAUGAGUACUGAUUGUGAAGAAAAAUCUAGAUUCAGAGCCCGUUGGAUGUUGGGAGUCUUAAGAACUAUCCUACCUCUUUCCAAAAUUUAAGUCCAAUAGAUUUAAUGAAAAGAGCAGCACUUGGAAGAAGCAUCCAGAAGCAUAGUAAGGAUGAGAAUCUUACCACUUCAGAUCAGGCAAAGAAAGACAAACAGAAAAAUCUCCUAAGAUUCCCUUUUCUCCUUGAUUAGUUUUAAUACAGUUCUAGAUUGGAGCACAAAGUAUGUAUCAAUGACAGGUGUGAGGAAUUAUGCAGACAAGCAAUAUGAUUGGCAGGAGACAGUCACCUAAGCAGACCAAUGCGUUGGAGGAAGGGAAGGGUCCUGAAGCCAAGAGGCAUCGAGAUGACUGACACUUAACCAAUUGCUCAUAAGUAACAACUACCUCAAGGCCAGAGGUGAUUGGAUCAGAAGUGGACACUGGCCCAACUUCAGCCUCCUCUCCUCUUUGGGAUACACCCAAGCUGCCGAUGUGUCUAGAAUGGCUCCAUCCUGCCAGCUGCCUUGCUCUUCCUCUGCUCAGAAGCAGCUCCAUUUUGCCAGAUAAGUGGAGGAUACAUCCCAAGGAAACGUUUUGCCAUCAGGCCAUGGUGUCGGGUUCUGACAGAUUGUGUGGCCGAUUUGUCAUUCACUGCGAGUGUCUUAAAGUCUCUAUCAGAGAGCAGGCGUUGCACAUUUGUGGAAUUCAGUGAUUGUUUUCUAUUAAAAGCACAGUGUUAGAGCUCUGAAGCUGUCAAGUCAGGAUGAUGUUGCCACAUCCUCUGAUGCAGCCCUUUCUGGAUGAUUUUUAAGUGGUAAAGUGUUAGGUUUCUGAAAUGAGAAGAGAUCUCAGAAAAGCUAAUAAAAACAUCCAAUGAAUAAAUCUGUCCUCACACAUUAGCUGAGUACUCAGUGUGCCCAGCAUUAUGACAAUCAUAAUAAAUGUCUAUGUGCACUCAUUCUAUUACAUAUGUUAUAUCAGAUAUAAUACUAUAUAUUAUAUUAUUAACUAUAUCAUAUUUUGUCCAAUUCCCUUUAAAUUUUUUAAAAAUUUUAAAAUAGUAAUGAAAAGUAAAUUGUUGAAAAAAGUGAAAUUUUUGUGAUGAGACUUUAGCCAUAUUCGUAAAAUGAGUUUAUGUGCCUGAAGGAACAAAUAUUUAAAAUAUAAGCAAUAAAGCCCAGAUAUAUUUCUGUACUGCAUACUUACAACUGGGGAAAACCAAACAGAGUUCAGGAAAGAGGAGCAUGAAGGACAGUGUGAUGCAGCCCCCUGGAUCCUCUUUUAGUGGACUUGUUGCCGCGGCUGCUGGGAGUGCUGCUGGCAGACAGUCUUAGCCAUCAGCCCCUUAGGGUUGCCUCAAGUCUACACAGCCACCUAGCCAAGGUCAUGCCCUUCCCAGGGAAGCCCACCCCCAAUGGCUGAUUGAUGCAAGAGCAUAGAGGCUAUCUUGCACCAGCACCAGGAGACCUCUUAUCUCCUAGAGCUGGAGGGCAGAAAGAACUGUAGACCAGGCCCAAGACGUAAUCAUCAAAGUAACUGAGCAUCCAAAGAUGAAGUCUCCUGAUGGAGGCAGGACUGUCAUGUCAAAGUCAGGGCCCCAGUUGAGAAAGAACAGGACCCUGACUGGCAGGAUGAAGACAUCUGGGUUGAUGACCUCCAAAAUCUUGAAUUUUUGUGGAUGAAAAUAUUGCAAUUGCAGUCAAUGGCAAGGUCAAAGUGGAUCCUGAUACGGAGAGAAUGAUGAGAUGGUUAAUAGAAUGUGAUGGAUGUGUUUGGCACCCAGAUUGUCCACUGGGGUGGCUCUUGGUCUUCCUUAUCCAAUUUUGAUGGUGAAUGGGCAAGAGUGGCAAUUCAGACCUAUCGGGGGUGAGGGUCCUGGUCACACCUCUCACCACACAGGUAUGCCACUGAGAUCAGUGGAGAUGCGGGCUAAGGGUGAGUGGAAUCUAAAAUGGAUGGUAGAGGAGAGUGGAGAUGAGUAUCGGUUGUGGUCCUAAGGCUAGCUACGGCGGCGGGGGGACUAUAGUUUCCUUCAGGAAGAGGGGUCCAUUGGAAUCCCAGAGUUGCUUCUUUCAGAACAUAUAUGAAGUUGUGGAUCCUAGCAGUACGAGGUGUGGCUGAGAUGGACAUAGAAAUGUGCUGUGCAGAUCCCGUCUCAGUGAAGAACUUGCAAUGUGGGCAGACAGCCUUCAGAUGUUAAUCCCUGAAGGAUGGUCUCAGCUGCAGAGAGGCACCUCAGCAAGACUAAGCCCUUCUUGGGGGUGCUUAUAUCCAAAGACUAAUUUAUGAAGGGGUAUAAAUUGCCUGGCCGUUUUGGGACAACAUGGAAGGGCCCCUCUAGUCCCAGCUGAGGCUCUCUUUGGGCCUGCAUUGCAGCUCAGUUCUCCCUCUGCCCACUCCUGCUUCCUUACCCUCCAUAUCACAGAUGAUCCCAGGGCACUCCUUUGUAAAUAUCUUGCAUGCUAAAUUCUGUCUCAGAAUCUGCUUCCCAGAGAACCCAUGUGCAACAGGGAGGUUUUAUUUGAUUGUAUAUUUUAGUUAUUGUGUCUCAUAUUUAUUUUAAUUUAAAAAAGUCACCUCCUGCUACCUCCCACUCCUAACCCUUUUCGUGCCUUUGAUUUGUCCUGUAGAAAUCUGGUUUGGGCUAUUUGUUUCCUCAUGGUGUCAUUUAACUCGUUGCUACAUUGCCUGUAUUUCCUGUAAACUGGAAACUAGAUAUAAAGUUUUGAUUGGAUUGAAGUUCAACAUUUUGGAGAAGAAGACAUUUUGAAAGAACUGUGUGCUUCCCAUUGCAUCAUCCCAGGAGGCGUAGUGACUCGUCGUCCCACUUUGAUGCUGCCAAGAUGGAUCUGUCUGACCCUCCAUUGUAACACUGAGUUUCUCCGCUCAUGACUAUCAGGGAAUAUGUGGAAUAAUGCUGUGGUCAAGUUGCCCACAAACCUUUCUUCUAAUGAUUACAGCACCCAUUGACAAUCUUUGCUUGAAUUUCUUUAGGGGCCGCGAAAUGAUCUAUUUCUAUUUUUCUUUCCACAUUGAUUGGCUAGAAUUCUUCAAAGAUUUUCUUCAUCUAACCAUGGCUCUUUGAAGAGUUCACACAAGAAAGAUUCCUCCAAUGGUGACAAAAACAAUUUUUUAUGCAUGUGUAAUUUUGGGGGUUACAUUUUAAUUUUGUUUUGUUUGUGGUUUUCUCUUUGUAUGAGUUUCAUAUUAUUAAUUGACAGCAUUUUAAAACAUAUUUAGUUGUCUUGAUCGGUUGCAGUUAUUUUUAUUAUUUUUCUAUCAUAGGAAUUUAGAAAUAUAUAAAAGUAGAAAGAAUAGUUCAACCAACUUGAUUUCCUGUACAGCAUUUGACUUUAACAAUUAUCAAAAUUUGGUCAAUCUUAUUUACCUUUCCUCUACUUCUCCACAGAUUAUACUAAAGCCAAUCUUGGACCUAAUGCCAUUUCAUCUGUAGACAGUUCAGUCUAUAUCUCUACAACAUAAGAACUAUAAAUAAAAACAAAAAUAAAACCAUAAUCCCAUUAUCACAUCUAAAAAUUAAUGAUUUCUUAGAAUUAUCAAAUACCCAGUGUUCACAUUUUCUGAUUGUAUUAAGAAUCUUUUUAAAAAAAAUUCUUUGUGAUACUUUUUGGCUCCUGAUCCAGACAAGUUCCACACAUUGUAAUUGGUUUAUAAUUUCUCAAGUCUCUUUUGAUUUGUAGGUUUCCCUCCAUUUCUUUUUUUCUCCAAUUUUUGUUAUUGUUGAAGAAACAAAGUUACUAGUCCUGCAGAGUUUCCCAAAGUUUGGAUUUUACUGAUUGCAUCUUUAAGUUGUCAUUUAACAUGUUCCUCUGACUUGUCUAUUGCUAAUUGGAGCAAAUUUGAUCCUUUUUUUUUUGUUUUUUGCAAGACUACUUUAUAGAGAGUGGUGGUUUUCUCCAACAGGAGGCACAUGGUGUACGACUGUCUGUCUUUCUGUGAUGUGAGCAUCCACUGAUGAUUAUUGCCUUGAUUCAUUUAUCUAUCAGAAGUUGCAACAUGAUAUUUUCUUAUUCUACUAAUUAUCCUUUACUUCUUAGCUGGACUACUUCUAUAAAGAGAAAAUGUCCCUUAUCUACUGUUUGAUUAUUGUUUAUAUGGGAAAAGUGGUAUCAAUACUCAAUUCUUUCCCUUUGUCUUUCAGUUUUCAAAAUAAUGAGUUAGUUCCCUAGCAUCCUCCAGAUGUAACUGUUAAGUUAUGGUGAUUUUUUUUUUUACUAUCAUUAUAGCUUAUGGAUUUAAAUAAUUUCAAUCUCGUGCUAUUAUUACUCUCUUUUAUCUUAAACUGCGUCAACUUAGAUUAGUGGGAGCCUAUUAAGUUUGCACCUGAGCCCUUUGACUUGACCCUAGUAGUCUUUGCUAGCUUCCUGGUUUUCAGGUCUGAUCAGAUGUUGUGUUUAUCCUUCACCCAGGCCUCAGCCCAUUUGGAUGAUGUUUUAUAUUGCUAAGCACCUGGCUU